rnacentral:rRNA from 1 species
UACGAAGGGUGCAAGCGUUAAUCGGAAUUACUGGGCGUAAAGCGUGCGCAGGCGGUUUGUUAAGUCUGUUGUGAAAUCCCCGAGCUCAACUUGGGAAUUGCAAUGGAUACUGGCAGGCUGGAGUAUGGUAGAGGUAUGUGGAACUCCGAGUGUAGAGGUGAAAUUCGUAGAUAUUCGGAAGAACACCAGUGGCGAAGGCGACAUACUGGUCCGUUACUGACGCUGAGGCUCGAAAGCGUGGGGAGCAAACAGG